rnacentral:lncRNA from 1 species
UUGAUUACUUCCAAACUUCUGCCAUAUAUUCUCGACCAAGUCAACUUUCAAUUGUUGAUGUAUUUUGCGAUCACGAACGCGACUCCGCAUGACCAUCAUAUUGCCAAGAUUUGUCGGCAUAUCUGUUUCGUAACUGUAAUCCACAUGUGAAGUUCUAUGUGCUUCAACUUGUGUGAAUUCUGAAACAUUGAACUGUGUGUACGUGUCUCGUUCAUCUUCAACUAUCAUAUUGUGCAAGAUGAUACAUGCUCUCAUAAUUUUACCUAUUUUUUCUUAUCCCAAAAAAGAGCCGAGUUUUUCACAAUCGCAAAUCGAGCUUGCAAGACUCCAAAUGCACGUUCGACAUCUUUACGGACAGCUUCUUGAUGUUCAGCAAAUAAACGUGCUUUUGGACCUUCUGGAAGUGGAAUGGAUUGAAUAAAUGUGGCCCAUUUAGGAUAAAUACCAUCAGUGAGAUAGUAAGCCAAGUCAUACCCGUGGCCGUUGACAACAAAUUUACGUUUGGAGCUCGACCCUUAAUUAUAUCAUCAAAAAUAGGUGAACGGUCUAGAAUAUUUAUAUCGUUUAAGGUACCUGGAGGUCCAAAAAAUG